UCAGAUGGGAAACACAAGGAAACGUGAAGUUAGUUAUGCUCUUUACUGUGUUUCCAUUGGAACUCGAAAAGAGUCUUUUUCUUUCUUCUGGGUGAUCUUUGCCCAACCUCUUUCCUCCUCUGCCUACUGCCCAGAAAAGGAUAAAAAAGCAUCUCUCUUCGUGGCGCCCUCUAGAGGUUAGAACAGGACGAUUGUCCUGUGCAGUUAUCUGUGCAUGAGAUGCUUGUGUCACUUUAAUCAGUGACUUGUGCAUGGAAUCUUGGGAAUUGAGGAGAGCAGUUUAAGCGCUGUGAGAAAUUCUUUACUGGGUUACGAGGUUGCUUGUAGUGCAUAGGAGACAAAUAAAAACGGUUCACAAUCAACAGUUACUUCUAAUCCAGCUCACCAAAAAAAACCCCUAAAACCUAGAGUGCACUGCCAGCUCCCACUGUCUUGGCAAUAUGUUUAGAAAGCAGUUAAAUUGCUUGUGUAAUGUAUAACCCUUUGUUUCACCCGGAGGCAUUGACAUCAGUUGUCACAACGAUGGUGGUCUGCACAUCAUAGCUAGGUAGCAACAGCUUUGGCCCGUCUAUACAGAGACGAGGUAUUUUUACAUGCAUCCCAAACUCUGCAGAGAAGGAUGAAGAGCUGGGAGGAGAUUGAAAGGCCAGGGGGUGGGAGAAGCACUAGAAAGAAAGGGGGAUGCUAAGAAAGAAAAGAAAAAAAUCUCAAACGACUCUUGCUAUUGUAUGAACGUAAAAUACUGUUUACGUUAGACAUGCCAAAUGAUAAAGCAAUUAAAAUAUCAUCAUGUUCUGAAAUAGAAAGACAUUUUAUCUUUGUUUUCUGCUGAUUCAGCUUAUGGAGGUUCAAUGUGGUCCCUAGCAUCUGCUUUGCCCACAAGUAGUCUAGGGAUGUCUGUCUCGGAAUCGAAGCAUCUGAAAUGAUCUAGAUCACAAACGUAAGUUCCAUAUUCUAGGAAAUGAGUGGGCAUUUUUUCUUGGCAGUCCGGUGAGUCACCCACAGCAGCACAUCUUUGUCAGACACUGAACUCUACAAUCUCUCAUCCUCUACUUACGCCUCCAAUAUUCUCACUGGCUUCGGCAAAGUGCAGUGAGAAAGUCUGAUGUGUUCAAUGGGGAAAGCCCUACAACACCAAACCUCCUUGCAGACCAGGGUCAGUAAUGGUUGAUUGUCAUGUUGAGUCCCACUACACAGCAUUUGUCACCAGCACAGUGCUGGGUGCAACUUAUCUGUCACAUCAGUCUGAGACACAAAGUUUUAGGCAUAAAAAGCUCAUUUUCAGUAAACCUUGUUUGGUUUGUUUCAUGGCUCUGAGAAAUUUGUUUGACUACAUAGCAUCCAAAGUAGAAAUAUUCAGACUCUGAGAGGUGCAUUAAUUAUACACUGGCUGGAAACGUCCGGGACCUACUGAAUCAUUUAUUUAAGAGUUAACCUUUUCGCACAUCACCAUAUGCCUGAUUUUAACUUUAAUCAUUAGAGUCAGAUGCUAAUGACCAUGAUUUAUGAAUGAGUCUCGACUUUCUGUGGAUUAUUUUGUGAUGAUGGCCUUAAUAUAGACUCCAUGCUGGUGCUUUACUGUUCUCAUCACUGGAGAUAAAUAUCAUUUGGCUGUGAUCAGAAGCUGAGAUGUAUGACCAAGAUUUGAAUGUACAGCGUCCGCACAUUUCAACCACGUGGACGGAUUGCGUGAGGAGGCUCAAAGGUGGAAUUUUGACCAUGAUUCAUUCUCCUCCCCAGUACAGUCCUCUCUAACCCGGUAGGGCAGGUUAAGUGCUGCACGUCUGUCUCACCAAAGGCCGUGGUCACUGUAGAAAGCCUUAAGCCAAAAGGAGUUCUCUGUAGUCCCUAAUCGAAUAGUCAGAAGGACAGGCUGAGGAGGAGUGCAACAUGGCUCAGAACUGUGCUGGUUGCUUUCAGGAAUUAGUAGAACGAACAGGUCAUAGGUGGUCAAAUAGAACUGAGUUGCAGAUACGUCACAAGCAGGAAUGGGCAAUUGAUCACGUUAGAAAAGCAUGGCUCCAAGGCCCUGGGUUCGGUCCCCAGCUCCGAAAAAAAGAACCAAAAGAAAAAAAAAAAAAAAAGAAAAGCAUGGCUCACACCCAUGAAUCCAGGCACAUCACAGACGUUUACUAAAGUGCCAAAUCCACAAAACAAAUGAGUUUUGAAUGAAAUAGAUAAUAUAUUUUUAAAAGUCAAAAAUUCCAGUUGUCUUUUGAGUUCCAUGAUUGACAUUUGAUUAGUUUAGGAUAUAGGACCUGCUCUUUUCAAAUUAAAUUCUAGGUGUAAAACUGUGUUCUGGUUGGUUUGGGAACUUGACUAUUUAAGCCAUUUCCAAUACAACUUUUUCCUGACUAUGUUGGUGUGAAAAAUUUCAUGUGUUAUAUAAAUAUCAUGGCUGUCUCUAAUAACCAGCCAAGGCUCAGAGAUUAGGAAGGUCUGUUGACUCUCCUACAGAACCAGAAGACUGAAAAAUAUCAGUGACAGGUGGUUCACCUGAAUUAGCUUUUGCAGGAAAGUUGUCUACUUAAUUAAAAUGUGUUGGGAGCAAAUGAAAACCUGCCUUUGAUGUCUGCCUCAUUUUUUACGGUCUACAGGAAGCACGCUGAUUGGUGUGGAAGAAUGACUUCAUGCCAGGUCAGGAGCCUUAUUACAACGAUGCUAUCAGAUAUUUAAGGCCUCGGGUCCCCCAACGUUGCUCCUGCCUUACACAUUAACUGGACAUGGUCCCAGCAUAAGGGACGGCUGAAGACAGCCUCCUUAAGGCCUCUGAUCCCACAUCCUUUUUCCACCCAAGCUCUGGCCAUCUGUGUCUACAGCCUGAUUUCAUUCUCCCCAGUUCCAAAGCUGCCUUUCUCUCCCCUCUGUUGCAAACCCUGCUAAGUUGGUUUGAGAGGCUUAGCAGAAAGAAGCCACCAGCCCUUACGUCAAAUUCACGGGCGUCCCCCUAACUCCCUUCAUCCUUCUUCUCAUAAUACCUCAGAGCUUAUGGGAAUGGAAACCUUGAGCUCCAUCCAGAAAUGCCCCGAGGUAGAACUGAUCCCAGGAGCAUGGCAGAAGGGGUGCUCCACAGUGAGCUGAGUUGACCUGGCUAAUGAGGAUAUAAACACACUCACUGAAUGGGUGGAUGGAGGACGACUCAUAGUCCAGGGAGUGGUGCCAUUCAGAGAAAGCAUGGCACCUAACACGGUGCUUUAAAAAUCGGUUGGGCAUCUCAGGCUAGCACGGCAGCCUCGCCUUCCCAACACCACAGAAGUCCGCACAGCUCCACGCCAACCGCAACAGGAUACUCAAAAGAGGAUUGUUGAAUGAUUUGAAAACAACGUUCUCGAACCGUUUGGAGUCUUGAGAUUGAUCGGUGUUUCAGAGGAAGACAGUCAGAAAAGCUUCUCCAGGGACUUUCAAUAAAAAGCCAAGUAGCUGCCAUUCAGCUCUUGGGAGCAGCCUCACAGAGUCCACGCCACAGAAUAUGAGGUUAAUGCCUCCUAAAUCCUGAAGGCUUUAAUGGACCAGAUCUCCCCUUACAGUGCUGGGAUAAACUCUACCCUCUGGAGCAGAUCAAAGUGCUAGUCAAUUCUGAAAGAAUAUUCUUUGUAUAACAAGAAAUGUCCAUUUGAGAAAGAGGAGUAACCAUAAGGCUUCACUUGAUACAGUAGGGCCUUGUGAAAAUUGGAUUCACCAGACUCCUAGACAUAUCCAAGCAGAGAUCUUUGGCUGCAGUCCCUCCAAUGAACCAGAGGAAUUUGUUAUGUAAGGUAAUGGCCUGAACAUGAGGAGCAAUUUGGUUCAAGGCAUGCCCCAUGGUAAUAAUUUUGAGAUAUCCUGAAGUUCGGUUUGCUAAAACAUCUCCAAAAAAAAUGAAAGGCUUCGAUACAAUUCAGUGGUUUGAAACACAGCGUAUUUGUAAUGCUAAUCAAAAAUAAGCCUACCAAAAGCAUUGCCUCUUCUUAACAACAGCACUGCACAAUAUCCCGAUUCUAGAAGUGUCAGUGCCGUCUACACAAAGUAAAGAUCUUCUGUGCUUUUAGGCUUAAUAAAAAGCAAAGUAUAAGGCAUUCCAUGGUUCACUGAAUUAUUCUGUUAUGACCUACAAACUAAGUACAAUUUUGGCUUUAUUUUGUGAAGUAUUUCUGGAUGAGGGCAUAGCUUGGUGUUUAAAUGUAUGUUUUGUGUGCACAAAAGCCUCUGUGUACAGCACCACACACACACACACACACACACACACACACACACACAUACACACACCAUUUUUAAGAUAAUUGUAAAGGGUGAAAUAUUGGGUAAUUACAUUGUUAAACACAACUGAAUGUCAGUUAUGUAGAACAGGAAUUAGAACAAUUCUCCCCGGGGCUGGGAACUCGGUGAAGGUGUGCCCUCGCCACCCUGGGAAGACAUGUCAUAACAGUAGCCAGUGCUGGGCCCUUACGGUGUCCCAGAGACCGCACGGAGGAAUCUUUGAGUGCUGGUUUCAGCUGUACAGCAGUUUCAGGGUUUAGUACUGUGUCACUGUUACCCUUGGGGAUUGGAGAAAGGAUUAAUGAAUUUGUCCAGAAUGAAUAAUUUGAAAUGACAGGGCAGGGCCCAUCUGUGAUGGGAGUAGCACCUGUGUCACAGUCUGGGACUGAGUAUUUCCUAGAACAAAGGGCCAGCUCUCCUCCUCUCCGCCUCACUCACUGCUCUGCAGCUGAAAUGCUUUUCCAAUAGUCAGGUUAGAUUUCAGAAGUCGGACUGGGGAAAAAGGGCAAACUCUGGAUCUUAGUUCACCUAAUAGGUGUUAGUUUAACUUAAAUAACACAGUCAUUUUUAACGUACACACUCAUGUACACGUCUAGUUAUCUCUGAAAGAUGUCUUUCCCUCUGGGAAAACAGUAAUUUAUUUUUAAACACAGACUUUCAAAAGUCCGAAGAGAAGAAAGCUGAAAUAGCAGCUUUGUCUAGGCAGAAGAAACAAGCAAGCCAUUUACAUGGAGAAAGAACUGUCUGCUUGGGCAUAAUUAAACAUGAAGAAAUAUUUAUGUGGCUUAUUGAUUUUAUAAUACCACAGGGACUCAAACAGCGAUGCAGACGGAAGAAAGCACAAACCUAACUGAACCGGUGCUGCAUUAACCACUCCUCCGUGGUAUCAAGUUACAAAAAAAAAA
rnacentral:sRNA from 1 species